AUGAGAGGCUCCAUCACUCCACCUGCUUUUACUGUCUCAUCAGGACCAGAUGCUGCUGUGGUCUCUUCAUCCUCAGUUACCCCAAAGACGACGCUUUUAUCUGAAGUGACUUGCAGUGCGCUUAUUACAGAGACCCCAAUCCCCCUGCAGCUAUUUGGAGUAAAGACAGCGCUGGUGACGACUGUGGAGAUCGAACCAGCAACCUUCUGCUCACCAGUUCACUACACCACAAAAGUAGUGGUGCUCAUAGAGAGCAGCACACAGAUGUUUGGAGCAGACAGCAGCAGUCAGAUUGUCCCACAUGUGUUCUUCUGAUCUUGUUCAGGGUUGUGUGGUUCAGCUGCAUCAUCAUGGUCUUCCUCAUCCUCUCUGUGCACUCAGACUAUGACAGUGUUGAUGUCCCUUUCCCAUCCAUGAUCAGAUUCAGUCUGACUGCAGCAGUGAGGGACGUGAUGGAUAGACAGGUCUCAGCUGUGUUGAGAUGACAACAGGAUGUGGUUUCACUGCCUGUAAAUACAUGAUUGUCAGAACAAUGUUUGAAUAAAGCCUUUUCAUGUGUUGUUGACUACUUGUAU
ensembl:lncRNA